rnacentral:tRNA from 2 species
AAAUGAUUCUUAUCUCUUUUUGGAGAGAUGGCCGAGAGGAUUAAAGCGUCGGAUUGCUAAUCCGU